UUUUUUUUUGUGUUGAACCUGAGAAGAUUCCUCUUCCCUGCCCAGAAAAGGAUGACAAAGCUGUGCCUGACUGUGUAUUUUGCUCCCUAGACUGGGGAUUGCCCCCCCGGCUAUACUUGCCCACCGGGGACUGGAUUCCCUUUCUCUUUCCCCUGUGUGCCGGGAUUCUCCUGGGAUAACUCCACUGUAGAGGGUGAAGGCAUUUGCAUACCAUGCCCAGCUGGGCACUACUGUGACUCUCCUGCCAUGUUGGAGCCCAAAGCCUGCCCAGUGGUAAGUUCUUUUGUCUUGGUUGUCUGAUGGAAGGAGCUGAUGAUAAGUGGUAUGUGGAAGUCUGUUUAAUGGAAGAGCCUCCAGUGCUGUAUUAAGCUGUUUUUUUUUUUGUAGGGCUUUUACUGCGUCAGAGGCAGCUCUCAACCAGAGCCCUGUCCGGAGGGUACAUACAGUAACAGGAAGGGGCUAUCUGGACCCUCAGAGUGCAGCCCAUGUGGCCGUGGCUUCUACUGUGCUGCUCCAGGCCAGACUGCACCAAGCGGCCCCUGCAACCCUGGAUUCUACUGCCAGGGUAGAGCUCUGACUCCACUGCCCACAGAUGGUGUGACAGGAGAUGUGUGCCCUGCUGGGACCUACUGCCCACCUGGCUCCGCCUUACCUAUCCCCUGCCCUCCAGGAACCUACAGUAACAUAAGUGGGUUGAGGAGCCUUCGGCAGUGCUUGGACUGCCCGCCUGGGUGAGUGUCAUCUUUGUAGAACGUGACUCGGUUUUGUUCCAUUGCAAAGGGAUUGUUUUCGCUUUGCUGUGUGAAUCCAGCCGUGUAACCCUCAAGUCAGUCUCCACAGCAGCCCAUCCUUACCUUCAUCCAUCCCUCUUGCGGUGAAGUCCUCUCUGUUCCCAGGGCUCCAGUGGAAGUGUGCUGCCUGUGUUCUCCGUUGCUGCAUCCCUGUAUCAAGAGAUUUACAAUAAGGAACUUGAACCAUCUGAGUAGUCCUCCUGCUUUUAUGAUUCGCUGGCUUCAGUUGAGACUCAUUAUGUCUAUAACGCUAGUGCAGUGGCUUGACCUAGCAGCUCUUGCUUAAACGUUCUCUUGGGUACUAAUUGGACUAGUUGGGUAGCCCUUUUUAUAUAAUUCACCACACUGUUGCGUUCCUUUUAACCACACCAAAAUUGCACGUGUGAUUCUGAAGGAAAAGGUAUGGACUGAGCAGUGACUUUCACCUCUCCAUGAGCACACAAAGUCACGCGCACUGAAUACGAGCAGACUGUUAAGGCAAGGGAGGGACAGCCUGCUUUUCAGGUGGUCAUCUCUUCACGUUGGUGUGACAAAUGGUAUAUGCAAGUUCAUUUGGGGCUUGAGGGCACAAAACCUGUUAACGCGAUCUUUAUUCAGGAGCGUGUGCAGUUGCCAUGCUCUGAUUGUAGAGGGGAGAAUUCUUCUUGGGCUAAAACUACUGAAUGUGAGGGAGGUUAUGGUCUUUAAAGAGCAUGCGUGAGAAGUCCUUCCAAGGCCUGUAAGCAUACAGGAACCAGGUCUCUGUGAGAUUCCAGGCAGCCUGCAGGGAAUUUGUUUGUUUUGGGACUAGCCAGUGACACAGUGACUAGCCACUGUGCUAGCCAGUGACAAAAAUGCUGCUACCCAGGAUGUUUGUUUGUCCCCGUGUAGCCUGUACUGUGAUGGGGCAAAUAACCGAGCUCCCUCUGGACCAUGUGAACCUGGCUACUUCUGUACAGGAGCUG
rnacentral:lncRNA from 1 species